ACUCGAAAAAAACUUUCCGAAACUUGUGACAAACCGGAAGGAGUAUUUUUGGAACAGAAAUACUCCUUCAAACGUACAACUUAAUUUUUUAAACUUUGUCCAUGUUUAGCAUGGGAAUCCAACUCUUUAACAGUGUAAAAAAACUCAGUAUGCAUGAAAUAGCUUACCUACUCCACUUUUCUCAGCUCCACUGCGUAUGUCUCAGCCAGACCAUGACGGCGACAGCUGGUGUGUUGCUCACCCUAACACACAAGCACACGUUUGCUGUCCUGAGACCCUCAGGGAACCACCAAGGAAGAGGCCAGACUCCAGUGGGCAUCUCUCAGGCGGACCAUCAUAGCGACAGCUGGAGUGCUCAUCCACCUGACACACAAGGUAAAAGAACAUUAAAUAGAAUAAAGAUUAAUAUUCUUUCCAUUGACUUCCAUUAAUAUGGAUGCGAAUGCAUCAAACCGGAAGCGCAAGUUGUGGGAAAAGUUCCGCAUUUCGCUGCAUUCCAAAGUUCCAAUCUUGGUGACUCUUGACUUGCGAAUUCACAUCACGUGAAACUGUAUCACCAAUAGCAGUUUGAUACAUCACAGCAAAAAAUGUAAAACUGCAGCGCUGAGAGAAAGUGGAGUAGAUUGUGUGUUUUUACCUUUUAAAUGGAUUAUUAUGCGUUGUGUGUUGAAUUUAAAUGUUUUUUUUAACAACACUGCGUCCAAGGAAACUUUGCAAGCUCAAAGUCUAGUGUGACCGCAGCAUUCACAACCCUUCACACAAUCUAAAACAGAAUAAUAUUUUGUGUUUAAUUUAACACCUUUACUGUCUUGAGACCCUCAGGUGACUACCAAGGAAGAACACAGAGUAAGUUACAUUUGAUCGCUAAAACGGUGUUGUAAUCUGAAAUGACACAAAUGGACAAUGAUAAAAUGAUAAAAUGGUUAUCUACUAUGAAUAGCUGGGUAAGAAGGGUUCAGGACAGCUGCAGCAGAGUUCAGCUCCAACCCUAAUUAAAACUAACCUGAUUUCUAGUAACCCUUCAGACCUUGAAUAGCUUGUUCAGGUGUGCAGGGAUGCGGCUCUUCAGGACCGACGUUUGUCCCCCCCCCGGUUUAGGAGCUGUGAAAAGUCAGCUUUUUAAUAACCUAGUAGGGCUGGGCAAUAUGACCUAUAAAAAAAAGAAAUCCCAGAUUUUUUUUUUCAAUAAAAGAUCUAAAUCCCCCCCCCCCCCAACUUAAAAAUCUAUAUUCAGAUGACAAAUAAAUUGUUCAAAACAAGUUUUAACUUCAUUUUGUUUUAAUUUUACUUUCUGGGAUUUGAUCUGGAUUUCCCCCUGGAGGUGUGCAAUCAGAAACAACAAGCCAAAAAUACAAGUGAUACAUUGUAAACAGUGAUAAUGUUACAUAACAUAAAGUUUAACAUUAUAUUCUACUAAUUCUACUACAUAACACAUUUUUGUAAGACUGUCAGAGGUCUUCACUAUUUUUUUUUCAUGGGAGCCGUACAUCAUUCUUUAUCAUUUAGCAGUCAAAUCUGUACACUCAAAAAAUUGGAUUUGUGUUACACAGAUAUGUUUUGUUAAAACAACACAAAUAUAUUUAGUUUUCCGCCAAAACACAAUUGUAUUGUACUUAAUCAACUUAAACGGUUUAAUUUCCAAUUUUAAUUAAUUAGCAAUCAUUAAACUAACGUAAAUUGUUUAAUUUCGUAAUAAAUAAAAAAACCCGGAAGUGACGAUUUCCAAUGCAUUUGAUGACAGCGCGAAGGAGAGCAAGAGGUACCAGUCAGGUAAGAAAAUCUAAAGUUUUUCUUGUGUUAAGUCAAAGUCUUUAAUUGCUCUUAGAGUUUCUGUUUUGGGGUGCUUUUGUUUUGCAGUCUAGUAUUGUGUAAUCUGUUCACUGCACCGUUAAUAGAUGAUUUUGAGCGGUUGGGAGAUGUGAAAGCGCACGACUCUCUGUAACGUAUUGACUUGAGUAUAUAUAUAUAUAUAUAUAUAUAUAUAUAUAUAUAACGUUACACUAGGGCUGAAACAAUUAGUCGACAUUAUCGACAACGUCAACAAGAA
ensembl:lncRNA